GGUGGGGCCAAGCCAAAGGGCCUCUCGGUUAGGAGCUUCUCCAUUCUAUCAGCUCUCCGGGGACAUCCAAGGCAAGACUGACACCAGCAAACGCAGCAGGAACCAUGGAGUCCUUCAGCUCAAAGAGUCUGGCCCUACAGGCUGAGAAGAAGCUACUGAGUAAGAUGGCGGGUCGGUCCGUGGCUCAUCUGUUCAUCGACGAGACGAGCAGCGAGGUGCUGGACGAGCUCUACCGCGUCUCCAAAGAGUACACGCACAGUCGGCCCCAGGCCCAGCGGGUUAUCAAGGACCUGAUCAAGGUGGCUGUCAAAGUGGCCGUGCUGCACCGCAGCGGCUGCUUCGGGCCCAGCGAGCUGGCCCUAGCUGCCCGCUUCCGCCACAAGCUGCGCCAGGGCGCCAUGACGGCGCUCAGCUUUGGCGAGGUGGCUUUCACCUUUGAGGCUGCGGUGCUGGCGGGCCUGCUGACCGAGUGCCGGGACGUGCUGCUAGAGCUGGUGGCGUCCCAUCUCACGGCCAAGUCCCACGGCCGCAUCCGCCACGUGUUCGAUCACUUCUCGGACGCCGGCCUGCUCACCGCCCUCUACGGGCCCGACUUCGCGCCGCAUCUGCACAAGAUCUGCGCGGGGCUCCGGAAGCUGCUGGACGACGGCCGACUCUGAGGGCGUCCCCGGCCGCCAGGGAACAGCAUCGAACAGGCUUCCUAACCCUGCUCAGCUACACUAAUGCUUUCCGGCUCCAGGGCCUCAGGCUUCCCCAAGCGGGCUUUGGCCUCUGAGAGCACCCCACCCCCACCCCGCCGGUGGAGACACCCAGAAGCCGAGGGUUAAGGCCUCUCUCCUGCUCCAGCCCCAGGACAGGAAACUGAAGCUGCCUGAGAAAGACGAAGUGAAACUUGGAUCUCUGUGGCCCCCGUGAGGGGGCACUUGAAACAGGGAAGCCCCCUCCUCUGUGAAGCAGGUCAUUUCCGGGCACAUCAGAGUUUGAAGAUUUCAUCCUCCUGGUCCCGAAGUGUCCGGGUCCGAGAGGUCCGGGUCAGCGGUACCGGACCUAGGACUGCUCGCUGCUGCAUCCGAGGGGAGCUCAGCUUCUGGGCAGCAGCCUUCUUGGACAGGCUGAUCUGUGAAUCAAGCUUCUUCAGGAAAUCAGAGGCAGAGAGGUCAUGGACGGGAGUGGGGGCUUCCCGGCGAGGCGUGGGAAGGGCUUCACCAUUCGCACGUCCUGAACCUGUUUCUUGUUUCUUCCUGUCAGCUGAGUGUGGCUGACCUUCAUCCUUACUUGACUGUCCUUCUUCCUCUCCAUCUCUCUCUUCCUCAGAAUCCAAACCAUUGAACAGGUCUCUGGGCUCUGUCAGGAUGGGGAUGUAGAGGGUUUUCUUCAGGAAGAUGGAGUCAUUAGUAUAAAGGCGGUUUGCACGCUUAAUCUGUUCCAUCUUUAAAAAAAAGUCACCGCAAUUAAUGACAGUAGUAAUGAUCAGUCUUCUAUCUGUACAGCAUCUUACACCUUUUAAGGUAAUGGUACAGAGUCUUAUUUGACCCAAUAACAACCCAGCUAAACUACAGAAGGCUGGUAUUAUUCCUAUUUUACUGAUCAGCGGCUUUUCAUACUUUUUGGUUUUAGGGUCCCUUUACAUUUUAAAAAAUGAGGGGAAAAAAAGCUUUCCUUUAGGUAGAGUACAGCUAUCAACACUUAAGUUAUUAUAAAUUAAAAGGGAACAAAUUGAAAAAUGUGGACUUAUUUUAAAAUAACCCAUUACAUGUUAACAUAAAUACUCUAAUGAAAAAUAACUAUUUUCCAAAACAACAACAACAAAGGGAGCAAAAAGAGAGGCACUGCUUUAUCUUUUUGCAAGUCAGUUUAAUGUGUGACUUAACAGAAGACAACAGAAGAUUCUCCUAUCUGCCUGUACAUUUGAUGGGCUGGAAUACUACAUGUCAUGUAGCUUCUGAAAAAUACAGUGCACUCAUGAGAGUGAGGAAAAAGACAAAGUCUUAUUAUCAUUACUAUGAAAAUAGUUUUGACCUUGUGGAUCCCUGACGAGUCUCACUUUGGGAACUUGUGUUAAAGAUGAAGGAACUGAGGCUCAGACAGGUUGUUCCUUGCCUAAGAUUACCCAGCAAAUUAAUGACAAAGGUGGAGUUAGAAUUCUGGGCCUUUAUACUCCUAGGAACGCUUUUCAUAUUAAUAUUAAUGAUUUUCCUGACCAAAUUUAUUUAGUACCUAUUUAUCUAUUACUGAAUGUCUUGCCAUCCAAGGUAGAAAUGUCCAUGCCAUCAUUAACUUAUACUUUUCUCUAACCACGCAUACCUAACCGGUCACCAAGUGUAUUGCAAAAAUGUCUCUUCCAGUCUUCCUCUCUCCAUUUCUAUGCAUCUCCCCCUGCUGACAUCUAUCUUAUUGAUUGAUUGAUUUUUAGAGAACUAGUGAGAGGAGGAGAGGGGCAGAGGGAGGGAGAGAGAAUCUCAAGCAGGCUCUGCACUGGGCUCCACGUUGGACGAGGGGCUUGAUCCCAUGACCCUAGGAGCAUAACCAAAGCUGAAGUCAACAGUCGGCCGUUCAACAGACUGAGCCACCCAGGUGCCCUUGACAUCUAUCUUUCUAAAAAAAAAAAAAAUUAAUCUGAUCAACCCACUACCCUGUUGAUAAGCCUCCUGUGGCUCCCCACUGGCUCAGAGAGAAAAUUCAAAGUAGCUCUCAAGGAUUCUCAGUUGAACCCAAUAUGACAUCUAGCAUCAUCUCUUUUCUGCCACCUAUACAUUUUGCCAACCUGAACUUUUCAUUUUGUUCAAACAUUUUAUGAUCUUCCACACCUUUGUGUCUUUAUCUGUCUGAAACACUUCUCCACUAUCCCCUUUUCUGCUGGGAAAACUUCCACUCAUCAGCUGUUGCUCUCUGUAUCACCUUCUCCAGGGCUCCCAAGGUAAACACUGCCAUGUAAUACCUACCACCUUAUUGUACUGUUGUUCACAUCUUUGCAUAUUUGUCUUGCCCAAACUCUGUGUCCUUUGAGGACAGGGAUGCUGUCUCUGUACCCUAGGGCACUCCUCAGCAUCAUAUAAAUGUGGCAUACAGCAGAAGUUCAUUCAUGCUUUAUGAGUAAAUAAAUAAACUAGAUAAAAUAUAGAAAUCUCAGAUGUAGUAUAUUAGUAAAAAUGGCAUGUUAGAAUGUGUUUAAAACAAAACUGGAUCUGAACAAUAAAAAAAAUUGGCUUGCAGCUCUGUACUUUUAUGCAGCCAAGUGCUUUGAUAUUAUUAAUUUGAUUUUGCCUAGGUAGUAGUCUAGGUCCUUCUAGUGAGGGGCAGAGAGAGAGAAGCGGGAUUCACCCAAAGCGGGACUCAAGCUCAAGAACCAUGAGAUCAUGAACUGAGUCGAAAUCAGAUUCUUAAUGACUGAGCCAGCCAGGCGCCCCUAGAGUCUAGCUGCUUUAACAGAGCAGCUCACAGGGAUGAUUUUAGAAUGAGACAACCUGGUCUGAAUCCUAGUUCUACUAAGUAGACUAGUUACCUCUACCAAGGAGUUUGUAAGCUGUAGCAGGUUAUCUUCCUAAGCCUCUCUUUAAAUAUUUGGGGAAUAGUUAUACCUACCUCAUAAGGUCUUAUGGAGACAAUAUGUAGAGCUUGGCACACACUUAGUGUUCUAUAAUAAUAGGCAGUAAUAACUUAGGUGAUUAUCAUUAUUUAAGAUACCUUCCUCAUUUUACAAAUGGUAAAGAAGCUGAGGCCCCAGACAGGUGAAGUGACUUAUGCAGUCACCCAACUAGUAAGCAGCAGAAUGUGGCUCGAACCUAGAACCGUUCACUAGGUUACAGAACUUUUUUGUACUCAGGAGGGGACAGGGCUGUAAGAAAACCUCCACAUAUAACCCUACUCCCAGUAGUACGUGUCCUCCUUUGCACAGUGUCCUCUGCGUCCCAGCAGAGACUGCUCAGUACCUUCGUAUCACCUUCCUUCGUGCAGGCCAUGGCCUCUACUUGACAUGUUUGCUUUCCUAGCCUCCCAGCUCCCACCUGUGGGAAUCUUAACCAUGUUUUCAUUCAUUUAAAAGACAUCUAUUAGCUUCUAGGUGUGAGGGACUAUGCCAGACUCUAGAGAUAUAAAAUUGAAAGAAAACAGUUUUGUCUCUUAAGGAAAGUACAGGUUAUUGGAAAGACAAACACAUAAACGGUAUAAACAACUGGACUAUAGGCUUGCAGAGGACCUAGGGGAAGGAACUUCUACAUGUUUCAUGGCUCCUUAAAAUCUGCCCUUAUGUCCUUCCCCGCCUCCUUCCAAAUAAAAAUUAAUAUUUUCUUUUCUGAUUUCCGAACCUUUAUUGAUACUUCUACAAACUCACCACAUUCUGUCACCUGCAAUCAGUGUGUCCCUGUUCAGUUCUCACUAGAUUGCAAAUGACACGAGGGUAACAACAACACAUUGUUUAUGUUUCUAUCUCUUGGGAUGGUUUGGCAGUGAUUUAAACAUACCAAGCACAGAAAUGUUGCCUAAACGCAACAGGAUAUGGAAAAAAAUUUCAUCAAUUUUAAUGCAAUGUUUUUUUUUUUUACACCUAUCAAAUAGACACCACGCAUGACCUGAAAUGCCUGGUGUAGAGAGUACCUGUUUUGCACUGAGGCCACCUUAGUGGAAAGGAGGCAGCGCACUAAUGAGGAAUAAAGAACCAGAAGAUGGGGCGCCUGAGUGGCUCAGUUGGUUAAGCAUCUGGUUUCGGGGCUCAGGUCAUG